GAAUCCUAGUUCGCUGGAUCCGCCGCCGGACGCGCACCCUACCACCCCCAGCCGCCGUGCUCCGGGCUGCCGGACGACGCCCUCCCGCCAGACCACGAACCUCUCCUCUCACGCAACCAACGAGCGGCCUCUCCUCGUUCCCAAAUCAGCCGUCUCCCCUUGUUCCCACCUACUCAGAUUCGUCGCCCAUCUUCCUACUCAGAUUCGCCCAGGAGGGCGAGACUGUGGCAACGGAGGAGGACGCCGCCGUACGAAUCGACGACGAGGCCAAACUCUAGGUCUGGAACACGUGCGAGUUCACAGCUCAGUAAGUCCCAGAUGCGAGCCAACCAAGGGACGCACACAGGUCUGGUCCAAGCUUCGGCGACCGCCGCAGCCUCCGCCAUUUUCCUGCUGCGUACGGCGGUACAGACCUGACUUCGAUAUGUUGACCUCACAAGGCGCCGAGGUGAGGCAACCUGAGGCAACAAGGGAGAGAUCCAGCGCGGAGUUCUGCGUACAUCUCCGCCAGCGACCUCGUCCGCCUUCAGGUUAUUGCUAUAAAGCAGCUCAAUAGGGAUGGUAACCAAGGAAACAAAGAAUUUCUGGUGGUGGUUCUGAUGGUCAGUUUACUGCACCAUCAAAAUCUUGUCAAUAUUGGUUCUAUUCCUCACGGUUUACUCCAACAUGAACAUUUCUUUUCGAAUAAUUGAUCUUGGGAAUUUCCCAAAUGCUGUACUGAGGCUUGCAAUAUCCAUGUUGGUUAAGUUUUUGUUUCAUUUCUCUGUCAGUUUCUUCUUUAAUGGGUUUAGAUUGCCUACUCGUUCUUCCGACAAGGGUUACAUCCUCUCAGUUAACAUUCAUUGAAUAGAUCGUCUUCCCACAAGGAGUAUAUAAUCAUUAGUACACGGUAUGCAUAUAAGAAAAUCAAGAAGUGUCAUUAAGAGAAACUGGUACUUCUAAUAUUGGGAAACAGUCUACAUCUAUGAUCUAUCAGAACGUUGUCUCAUGUAAUCAAAGAUGUUGUUAUUGAACCAUCUCGUGUGGCUUGUAUGCAGUUUUCUCAUCACAAAUGCACCCUUUCCAGCUCCAUGUUUACUUGUUAAUUCUAUUGGGUUGCAUACUUGUAUGCUUUACAGGUGCAUACUGAUUUUGCUAGCGAGGUGGCUGUCUUACGCUGGCUCUGAAACAUCAAAAAUUUCAGGAAAAGGCACUAGAGCAGCUGUUCAACCGAACACAUUUGUCAGGGCCCGAGGAGAAGAGCACAAUCACGAAGAUAUGGGCGUAGGUGCCUUGCUGGUGUACUUGGCCGGGAGCUGACAGCCGAGUACUAAAUCACCGCCCCCAGCAGAAGAGAUGGUCGGGUGCCCCCAGCUGACGAGAUCGCCGCCCGCCCCCGAGCAGAAGAGAAGGGCGUCAAUGUGGGGAAGAACGGUAGAAGUUGAAAUUCAGACAGAACGAUAGAAGUUGAAAUUCAGACAUAACAAUCAGGGUACACAUGUACUUUCGCUGUAUUUCAGGGGUUGUUGGAAUUUUCUCCAACGUCUUAUACUGGGUAAUGGAGCUGAGUAUGUGUGAGACUAAUGCACCAUUAUCGGCUGUGUUUUAUGUUCA